GUUACACCUCCAUACAUGCUUGUAGAUUAUGCAGUACUGAUGAAUCAAAUUUCGAAUUCGUCGGUAAUUGGAGAGAAUACCUUUAUAGUGGUCGAGUAUCCAUUGAGAACUGACAUUUUGGAUUCAUGUGGCUGCCUUAUAAAGAUAGCUGAUAGGCGAUUUGGUCGAACCCAUCUAGCAAUAUAUGGACCACAGUGGGCUCAGAAGAAGAGAAAGUCAGGGACAUGAGGGGGGUUUUUUCUUUUUCUUAUUUUGCUUUCUUUCUUUCUUUCUUUCGUUUU